GUGUCAGCCGCCGCGGUAAAACCAGCACCUCAAGUGGUCAGGAGGAUUAUUGGGCCUAAAGCAUCCGUAGCCUGCUUUGUAAGUUUCCGGUUAAAUCCAUUAGCUCAACUGAUGGGCCGCCGGAAAAACUGCAAAGCUAGGGAGUGGGAGAGGUAGACGGUACUCGGUAGGAAGGGGUAAAAUCCUUUGAUCUAUUGAUGACCACCUGUGGCGAAGGCGGUCUACCAGAACACGUUCGACGGUGAGGGAUGAAAGCUGGGGGAGCAAACCGGAUUAGAUACCCGGGUAGUCCCAGCUGUAAACGAUGCAGACUCGGUGAUGCACUGGCUUGUGGCCAGUGCAGUGCCGCAGGGAAGCCGUUAAGUUUGCCGCCUGGGAAGUACGUACGCAAGUAUGAAACUUAAAGGAAUUGGCGGGGGAGCACCACAAGGGGUGAAGCCUGCGGUUCAAUUGGAGUCAACGCCAGAAAUCUUACCCGAGGAGACAGCAGAAUGAAGGUCAAGCUGGAGACUUUACCAGACAAGCUGAGAAGUGGUGCAUGGCCGUCGCCAGCUCGUGCCGUGAGAUGUCCUGUUAAGUCAGGUAACGAGCGAGAUCCCUGCCUCUAGUUGCCACCAUUNACUCUCAGGAGUAGUGGGGCGAAUUAGCGGGACCGCCACAGUUAAUGUGGAGGAAGGAAGGGGCCACGGCAGGUCAGUAUGCCCUGAAACCUUGGGGCCACACGCGGGCUGCAAUGAUAGUGACAAUGAGUUCCUAAACCGAAAGGUGGAGGCAAUCUUCAAACGCUAUCACAGUUAUGAUUGAGGGCUGCAACUCGCCCUCAUGAAUAUGGAAUCCCUAGUAACUGCGUGUCAUUACCGCGCGGUGAAUACGUCCCUGCUCCUUGCACACACCGCCCGUC
rnacentral:rRNA from 1 species